GGUAUUAAUGUCACAACCACGUGCUGUCACCAAAGCAGGGACAACGUGGACCCAGGAAUAACGCUUUCAUUUCUUGUGUGCAUUUAGGAAGGUAAAGACUACAUACCCCUCAGCACAAUAUUUACAACAGAAAGUGGGUCUCCCCCUGCAUCUGAUCCUUUGUGCAAUGAAAAAUUUCCUGUUACAAGCUCAAGUUGUGGAAGCACUGAAAAUGUCAGAUACAUAAACACCUUCAAAAUAAACCCCCCAGAGCGCAUAAAGACAUUUGAAGAGCUUCCCAUCAAGGAAACACUUGUAUUUAAUGAUUAUCAAGCAGACAGCGGGAUGGUGCUGGCUCCAGAGGAACUGAAGCGCUUCACAUGGACAGGCAGCAAGCAGAAAAGGACACUCUUUGGGUCUGUAUUUUACGUUCCCUUCCUCUCAGGUUUUAGAUGGCAAAGGAGAAGCCAAGGUCCUUGUGCUAAAUCAUGCCUUGUGAAAGUAGCUGAGGUGUCCCCAGUCCCUGCAAAUACUCUUCCUGAGGUAUGUCCUGCUUGGUUGAAUCAGCAGUCAAUCAUCUUCCACGCCUAUGUCUUUGAGGAAGCAAAUAACCCUCAACCCCUUCGAUGCACAUCAGCAACAUGAUUUAUUAGCUCUUACUGAUCCACCUAAUGCCCAAUUUAAUGCCAGUGUCAGAGGGCACUGAACUAAGGUAAGAGGCAGGUAACUGUAGGAAAGCAGCCCUUAAUAAUAGGGGAUGAGGAACGUGUGGCUGUGAAGGAUUUGCAGUUAUUUCUGCAAGUCCCAAGGGCACCCCAGCUGGGACAAGGCCCUCUGUGCUUGUUUUUGCCCUUCUUUUCCAUGACUCAGCUAAGCACGGCCCAUUUAACACCCAUGGGCUCAGGAUGCUAAAGUGGCAACUUUACAAUAGAUGGAUGUGAGGGCCUCACUUCUCUUCCUGCCUUUAAGCACUUGAAUA